rnacentral:misc_RNA from 1 species
UACGGAGGGGGCAAGUGUUAUUCGGAAUUAUUGGGCGUAAAGGGCGCGCAGGCGGCCUGGCAAGUCUCGGGUGAAAUCCCUCGGCUCAACCGAGGAAUGGCCCUGGAUACUGCCAGGCUCGAGGCCGGGAGGGGGUAGCGGAAUUCCCAGUGUAGCGGUGAAAUGCGUAGAUAUUGGGAGGAACACCAGUGGCGAAGGCGGCUACCUGGACCGGUUCUGACGCUGAUGGACGAAAGCGUGGGGAGCAAACAGG